rnacentral:rRNA from 1 species
UACGGGGGGAGCAAGCGUUGUUCGGAUUUACUGGGCGUAAAGGGCGUGCAGGCGGUUUGUUAAGUGCAGGGUGAAAGCUCCCGGCUCAACUGGGAGAGGUCCUUGCAUACUGGCGAACUCGAGGGAGGCAGAGGAAAGUGGAAUUCCCGGUGUAGCGGUGAAAUGCGCAGAUAUCAGGAGGAACACCCGUGGCGAAAGCGGCUCUCUGGGACGGUACUGACGCUGAGACGCGAAAGCGUGGGGAGCAAACAGG